rnacentral:rRNA from 2 species
GCGGGGACGCUGGCGGCGUGCCUAUACAUGCAAGUCGAGCGAAUGGAUUAAGAGCUUGCUCUUAUGAAGUUAGCGGCGGACGGGUGAGUAACACGUGGGUAACCUGCCCAUAAGACUGGGAUAACUCCGGGAAACCGGGGCUAAUACCGGAUAAUAUUUUGAACCGCAUGGUUCGAAAUUGAAAGGCGGCUUCGGCUGUCACUUAUGGAUGGACCCGCGUCGCAUUAGCUAGUUGGUGAGGUAACGGCUCACCAAGGCAACGAUGCGUAGCCGACCUGAGAGGGUGAUCGGCCACACUGGGACUGAGACACGGCCCAGACUCCUACGGGAAGCAGCAGUAGGGAAUCUUCCGCAAUGGACGAAAGUCUGACGGAGCAACGCCGCGUGAGUGAUGAAGGCUUUCGGGUCGUAAAACUCUGUUGUUAGGGAAGAACAAGUGCUAGUUGAAUAAGCUGGCACCUUGACGGUACCUAACCAGAAAGCCACGGCUAACUACGUGCCAGCAGCCGCGGUAAUACGUAGGUGGCAAGCGUUAUCCGGAAUUAUUGGGCGUAAAGCGCGCGCAGGUGGUUUCUUAAGUCUGAUGUGAAAGCCCACGGCUCAACCGUGGAGGGUCAUUGGGAAACUGGGAGACUUGAGUGCAAAGAGGAAAGUGGAACUCCAUGUGUAGCGGUGAAAUGCGUAGAGAUAUGGACGAACACGAGUGGCAAAGGCGACUUUCUGGUCUGUAACUGACGACUGAGGCGCGAAAAGCGUGGGGGAGCAAACAUGAUUACAUACGCUGGUCUCCACACCGUAAACUAUGAGUGCGAAGUGUAGGAGGAGUUUCCCCCUCCUUUAGUGCUGAAGUUAACCCAUUAUCACUCACGCCCCCGGAUACUGCCGCACCGCUGCAUCUCCAAUGAGUGACGAGCGGCGCGGCCAUCGGUCGACAAAAUGUGUAAAUAGAAUGCACGCACAUCAUACAGGCGUGGCAUGCGACUGACACUCUCAUGAUAGUGUUGUGCUCGAGCCGAGGACAACUAGUGCAGUGUUCGUCUCUCCUCACAAAGUAUUAGUGAAGAGCUAGCAAAACGGUGAGCUUGGACUAUUCAAUGACAAUAGAAUAAUUCGCGUCCGACGAUAGGGGUGAGGUUCUAUAUUCGGACCGUAGCAUACAG